GACGAACGCUGGCGGCGUGCUUAACACAUGCAAGUCGAGCGGUAAGGCUCCGUCGUUAGUACACGAGCGGCGAACGGGGGAGUAACACGUGAGUAAUCUUCCCUUCACUUCGGGAUAACCACCGCAAACGGUGGCCAAUACCGAAUACGACCAGUCUUCUCAUCAGGUGCGUGUGGAAAGUCUUUUCGGUUUAGGAUGUGCUCGGCGCCUAUCACCUUGUUGGUGGGGUAAUGGCCUACCAAGGCUUCGACGGGUAGCCGGCCUGCGAGGGUGACCGGACACACUGGGACUGAGACCCCGCACAGACGCCAGCGGGAGGCAGCAGUGGGGAAUAUUGGACAGUGGGAGAAAGCCUGAUCGCGCAAGGCAGCGUGAGGGAUGACGGGUUUCGGGUUGUAAUCCUCGUAGAGUAAAGACGAAGGGCACUGUCGGGUGGUGACGGUAGGUAAAGCAGAAGGACCGGCCAAAUACGUG
rnacentral:rRNA from 1 species